rnacentral:lncRNA from 1 species
AUCCCAGUUACUCCAGGGCUGUGUGGCAAAUAGUGAUUGGAUAAUAGCUGGGAAGAACUUUGGAGAAAGCAUGUGAGAAAGCAGGUAGAAGGUCUUGCCACCCCCUCGAAAGGAGGUCGCUCCCUAGCCUUCUUGUACCAGAACUCCCUUCCCAGGAGCCAGUCCACCCGAGGCUACUUUCAGCCAACUCUCUUCAGUUUACCUUUCCUGGCUCAUCUUAUCUCUGAGGAUCAGGGGUCAUGGGGUGAGUUCUGGCUAGAGAUCAGCAAAUGUCUGUGGCUACAUCGGAAGAUAGAUAGAAUACCCUGGGUCUGAAAGGAAGGGUCUGGAAGUAGAGAAGAACAUUCUAGAGAAAGUUACUGAGGUACGAAGGAGCAUGGGUCCUAGGUGGAGGUAGAGGUCCAGGUUUGUAGUCUCGGGUAAGGGACUGGGAUGGUGGGAGGGUGGCAUCUGGGGUUGCAUAAGUGCUGGGUCAAGGUCAUUCUAGGUGCAGCAACAUCUCCAGCUCUUUCCUUUCACAAGUUGGAAGUUUAGCCAGGUGGGCCCUUCAUGGUGCUAAUCUCUAUCAAUCCCAGCCUCACAUUCAGCACAUGCCUUAGCUGUAAUUAAAUUGCCUAGUGCUCUUUUUCUCUCCAAAUGGUACAUUUUGUGUUUGUUUCUUUCUCAUUUGCUGUUUUUCAUUGCAGCCCCACAUAAGAGUUAUUGGUACUAACCAUGCCACAGCCACAAUGUUAUACUGCUUUAAAAUACUCCUU